rnacentral:rRNA from 1 species
AGAGUUUGUUCCUGGCUCAGAACGAACGCUGGCGGCGCGUCUUAAGCAUGCAAGUCGGGCGGGAUCCAUGCGCUUGCGCAUGGUGAGAGCGGCGGACUGGCGAGUAACACGUGGGCGACGCGCCCUCCGGACGGGAAUAGCCUGUAGAAAUACAGGGUAAUGCCGGAUGCGAACGCGCGCGCUGGAGGCGCGCGUGGAAAGCCCCCACGGGGGCGCCGGAGGAGCGGCCCGCGGCCCAUCAGCUUGUAGGCGGUGCAAGGGACCACCUAGGCUACGACGGGUACCCGGCCUCAGAGGGCGGACGGGCGCAUUGGGACUGAGAUACGGCCCAGACUCCUACGGGAGGCAGCAGCUAAGAAUAUUCCGCAAUGGGGGGAACCCUGACGGAGCGACGCCGCGUGGGCGAGGAAGGCCGGAAGGUUGUAAAGCCCUUUUGCGCGCGAGGAAUAAGGGGAGGAGGGAAUGCCUUCCCGGUGACUGUAGCGCGCGAAUAAGCGCCGGCUAAUUACGUGCCAGCAGCCGCGGUAACACGUAAGGCGCGAGCGUUGUUCGGAAUCAUUGGGCGUAAAGGGCGUGUAGGCGGCCCUGCAAGCCUGGCGUGAAAUCCCGGGGCUCAACCCCGGAACCGCGCUGGGAACUGCUGGGCUGGAGCCGCUGUGGCGCAGCCGGAAUUCCAGGUGUAGGGGUGAAAUCUGUAGAUAUCUGGAAGAACACCGAUGGCGAAGGCAGGCUGCGAGCGGACGGCUGACGCUGAGGCGCGAAGGCGCGGGGAGCGAACAGGAUUAGAUACCCUGGUAGUCCGCGCAGUAAA